UGCCUCAACCAAAUUUUUCUUGUUCGAAAUUAAAAUUGAUUAAAUCUUCUUUAAGAUCAACAAUGUCUCAAGAUAGAUUGAAUGAAUUAGCUAUAUUAUCAUUUGAAAAGGAAUUAUUAAAAUAAAUUGAUUAUAAAACAAUACUUAAUGACUUUGCAUCUGAAAUAGCUAGAAAAGUAUAUUUUAAAUAAAAGUACAUAUGAUGAA
rnacentral:lncRNA from 1 species